UACGGAGGGUGCGAGCGUUGUCCGGAAUCACUGGGCGUAAAGGGCGCGUAGGCGGCCUGAUAAGUAGGGGGUGAAAUCCUGCGGCUUAACCGCAGGGCUGCCUUCUAAACUGUCAGGCUCGAGCACAGUAGAGGCAGGUGGAAUUCCCGGUGUAGCGGUGGAAUGCGUAGAGAUCGGGAAGAACAUCAGUGGCGAAGGCGGCCUGCUGGGCUGUCGUGCUGACGCUGAGGCGCGACAGGCGUGGGGGAGCAAACAGG
rnacentral:rRNA from 1 species